rnacentral:rRNA from 1 species
CAGCCCUAAACGAUGCGCGUUAGGUGUAUCGGUGACCACGAGUCACCGAGGUGCCGAAGGGAAACCGUGAAACGUGCCGCCUGGGAAGUACGGUCGCAAGGCUGAAACUUAAAGGAAUUGGCGGGGGAGGCACCACGACGGGUGGAGCCUGCGGUUUAAUUUGGACUCAACGCCGGGAAGGCUCACCGGAUAAGACAGCGGAAUGAUUGCCGGGCUGAAGACCCUGCAUGACCAGCUGAGAGGAGGUGCAUGGCGUAGUCGUGU